GAUGAACGCUGGCGGCGUGCUUAACACAUGCAAGUCGAACGGGAAACCUAUUAUUGAAACUUCGGUCGAUUUAAUUUGUUUCUAGUGGCGGACGGGUGAGUAACGCGUGGGUAACCUGCCCUAUACAGGGGGAUAACAACCAGAAAUGGUUGCUAAUACCGCAUAAGCGCACAGGACCGCAUGGUCCGGUGUGAAAAACUCCGGUGGUAUAGGAUGGACCCGCGUUGGAUUAGCUAGUUGGCAGGGUAACGGCCUACCAAGGCGACGAUCCAUAGCCGGCCUGAGAGGGUGAACGGCCACAUUGGGACUGAGACACGGCCCAGACUCCUACGGGAGGCAGCAGUGGGGAAUAUUGCACAAUGGGGGAAACCCUGAUGCAGCGACGCCGCGUGAAGGAAGAAGUAUCUCGGUAUGUAAACUUCUAUCAGCAGGGAAGAUAGUGACGGUACCUGACUAAGAAGCCCCGGCUAACUACGUGCCAGCAGCCGCGGUAAUACGUAGGGGGCAAGCGUUAUCCGGAUUUACUGGGUGUAAAGGGAGCGUAGACGGAUUAGCAAGUCUGAUGUGAAAGGCAGGGGCUCAACCCCUGGACUGCAUUG
rnacentral:rRNA from 1 species